UUCGUCUUCUUCCUCUUUCUAUCUCUUUUCUAAGGAUUUCCUACUAUGUCGUCUUUUUCUCUUUGAAAUUCCACUUUCCGAUCGAAGUGCAAAGGAGAAAUAUAAAUCUUGAAAUGCCUCAUAUACGAAUGAUCGUUAUCAUAAGUAUAUACAUACGUAACUCUAAUUUUAUAGAUAUGUAAGUAGAAGAAUCGAGGCUAGUAAACCUUGGAGUAUUUUAGUAUUCGUCAGUCUAAAGCGAAUCUUAUCGUACGAAGAUGGCGAUUAUGGUACGGCAGGAAAGGGACUUCCUGCAAUUGCGGGAUGUACACACGUUUGCGAACCGCCUCUCCUUCUUCUUCUUCUUCUUCUUCUUCUUUUCUCUUUAACCUUCUCCUCUUUUCCCCUCUCUUCUUGCAUGACUAACCUAUAGUCAUCCUCGUCUUCGUCUUCGUCGCAGUCGCCGUCGCCGUCGUUGUUAUUGUCAUUGUCGUCGGCGUCGUCAUAAUGCAGUGUCGCGUGGUUAUGUUUCAUAUCUUGUUAGGUUGCAUACAUAUGACAAUAACACGUAUGUAUCUACGUGAAAAGUGAUUGGUCAGAUCGAAAUACCGAUAUCAUUUGACAAAAUCAAGUUUGUAACUACGUAAAUACGUAAGUAAGUUGUUAACAGGUUAAUGUUGGAAAAAAACAAUGACGACGUGACGGCAUAUUUACACACGACGAUGUUUAAUUCUGCGUUUAGUGCAUAUGCGUGGAAUUGCGUAAGCCAUCUUGAAAGUUUACCGUUCCUCCGUUCGAGAAGUCUAUGUUUAAAAUAAUAAGCUUACUUUACAGAAAAA